UACGUAGGGGGCAAGCGUUGUUCGGAAUUACUGGGCGUAAAGGGCGCGUAGGCGGCACGGCAAGUCGGGAGUGAAAGCCCGGGGCUCAACCCCGGAGGGUCUUCCGAAACUGCCGAGCUAGAGUGCGGAAGAGGCAACCGGAAUUCCCAGUGUAGCGGUGAAAUGCGUAGAUAUUGGGAAGAACACCGGAGGCGAAGGCGGGUUGCUGGGCCGACACUGACGCUGAGGCGCGAAAGCCAGGGGAGCAAACGGG
rnacentral:rRNA from 2 species